GAUGAACGCUGGCGGCGUGCCUAAUACAUGCAAGUCGAGCGAACGGACGAGAAGCUUGCUUCUCUGAUGUUAGCGGCGGACGGGUGAGUAACACGUGGAUAACCUACCUAUAAGACUGGGAUAACUUCGGGAAACCGUAGCUAAUACCGGAUAAUAUUUUGAACCGCAUGGUUCAAAAGUGAAAGACGGUCUUGCUGUCACUUAUAGAUGGAUCCGCGCUGCAUUAGCUAGUUGUUAAGGUAACGGCUUACCAAGGCAACGAUGCAUAGCCGACCUGAGAGGGUGAUAGGCCGCACGGGAGCUGAGACACGGUCCAGACGCCUACGGGAGGCAGCAGUAGGGUAUCGUACGCAAUGGUCGAAAGCCUGACGGAGCGACGGCGCGUGAGUUACGAAGGUCUUCGGAUCGUAAAACUCUGUUAUUAGGGAAGAACAUAUGUGUAAGUAGCUGUGCACAUCUUGACGGUAACUAAUCAGAAAGCAACGGCUAACUACGUG
rnacentral:rRNA from 1 species